rnacentral:rRNA from 1 species
UCUACAGCCAUACCACCCUGAAGACGCCGGAUCUCGUCUGAUCUCGGAAGCUAAGCAGGGUCGGGCCUGGUUAGUACUUGGAUGGGAGCAAAUACGAGUUCAUUGUCAUGUGUGAU